ensembl:lncRNA
AAAAAAAGCCUGUAGUGCAAUUAAACGAUGAACAUACAAACAUACUGCCUUGAACAUAGCAGUCAGGCUACUGCUUCUUUGUUUUGAGCCAAAGAAAAAAAAAUCUGAAGGGACUGAAAAAGAGGGGAAUAGCGGUAGGAAGAUUUUUUUUCCUAAAAGCUAUAUCCAGCAAACUGCUUCAAAAACAUGUUUUCUGGAACUCAAAUGCUAUGUUUACUUGUUGUGAAAACUCCAUAAUAUGUCUCCUUUAAUGCUCAGGUAUUAAGGCUUACCAUGUUCCUUUUCACUGCAUAUAAAGGCAUAUGCAUGGCCAAUGCCACUAUUAAACAUUCUGCCCACUAGAGGGAAUUCCAGCAAUAAAAAUUUCUUUCUUGACAAGUAAGUAAUAGGCACAAAAGGUUAAUAUAUUAACACUGCCGCUCGACAGCGUUAAUAUAAUUUGCCGCGUUUUCGUUGUGAUAUAGAACACUGACUCACGACUCUUGGUGUAAAGACCUUUUACAUUGAAUGCGAUUGUUAGGUGCGAUUUUUUUCUCAUGGCAAUUAAAUAAUAUCAUUGAUUUGAAAUGGACUGUACCCAUACAACGUGACAACAUGAAUUUUAAUCGCACAAAGGUCGAUUUUUUUUAAGGCUCUCGUCAGCAAUUUAUCCAUUUAACCAAUCACAAUCGAGCAUCUUUGUCGUAGUGACCACUGAUACUGUACUAGCCUUGUGUUCGGGUCAAAUCUGACUGAUUUCCAUUUCGUUCAAUCAUAAAAUUGAUCGUUACUGGAAUGCCAGAAAAAAAACAAGGCAUGCGUGUUGUGUUGGACAUGACAGCCGGUCUCAAGGGGCAUAACAUCACAUGUGAUAACUUUUUCACAUCACAUGGGCUUGGUCAGUAGCUGCUGAAAAGAAAGCUCACCAUGGUGGGGACAGUGAGGAUGAACAAGCCUCAACUUCCCCCUGCACUGUUGUCGACCAGAGGGAGAGAGUCACUCUCAUCCAAAUUUGCUUUCAAUGACACACACAGUCUUGUGUCAUAUUUGCCCAAGAAAAAUAAGAAUGUCAUCCUGAUGAGCACUCUACACAAAGACUCCGCUGUCAGCGAAGCAGAGCACAGAAAGCCCCAGAUCAUCCUGGACUACAACCGAAACAAAGGAGGCGUUGACUGCCUUGAUAAGCUUACUGGUACAUACACCUGCAAGCGAAUGACAGCUCGUUGGCCUGUGCCGGUGUUCCACAACAUCCUUGACGUGUCUGCAUGUAAUGCAUAUGCGGUGUGGACAGCGAUCGACCCAGCCUGGUAUCAGGGGAAAUGUUUCAAGAGGAGACUCUUCCUGGCAGAGCUUGGGAAGGCUUUAGUGACUCCUCUAACGGCACCAGCACUUUCCCCGCACACCAGCCUCUGGCAGUCUGGUGAGGAAUCUGCAAGCCCCAGCCACUGCCCUGGCCGCUCUCCCCCCAAAACAGGGGCAGAAACAGAAGAGAUGCUAGUUCUGUGCCCCUAGCGACAAUAAGACAGGUCUUACAUGUUUCAAAUGUGAUGCCUACGUUUGCAAGGCACACUGCGACCUGAUUGCAAAAUGCCUCUCCUGUGUGUGUGAACACACACACACACACACACACACACACACACACACACACACACACACACACACACACACACACACACACACACACACACACACACAUGAUGUGUUCAUGUAGAUGUUCAGAUUUUCUGUGAAUUUGGUCUCUGUUUUGAUUUUUCUG